rnacentral:rRNA from 1 species
CAUGCCGUAAACGGUGGGCGCUAGGUGUAGGGGUCUUCCACGACUUCUGUGCCGUAGCUAACGCAUUAAGCGCCCCGCCUGGGGAGUACGGCCGCAAGGCUAAAACUCAAAGGAAUUGACGGGGGCCCGCACAAGCAGUGGAGUAUGUGGUUUAAUUCGAAGCAACGCGAAGAACCUUACCAGGGCUUGACAUCCUCGGACGACACUAGAGAUAGUGUUUUCUCUUCGGAGACUGAGAGACAGGUGG